rnacentral:lncRNA from 1 species
CAACUAUUUGUCAAGUCUAGCUUGUUGACUAUGAAUUAGAUAACCUGAUGACAUUGGGUUAACCUGGUCAAGAAAAUGAUUUAAUUUCUAAAAGCCAAAAAUUAUUCUUAAAUUUUGAGUCAGAAUAUAUAAUUAAUUUUUUGGGGGUGGAAUCGUGAUCAGACAGAGGGCUCUCCGCCCUCUGCUUCCCCUUUCCGGGGGAUACAGGGCGAUUGGCCCAAGUGGGCCGUCUGUGGUGGAACCAGAUCUAGGGUUUUAGGGNN